rnacentral:lncRNA from 1 species
UUCAAAAAGGUUGUUGAUACGGCACUUGGUGAUGAUGAGGCUGCUUCUGAAGAAGUAGUCGUGACCGACCCGGACGUCGGUAAUGUAUCUGUUGAUAUGGUGCCAGAGAGGGUGCCAGCGACAGAAGCUGGAGUAGCCCCCGAGCUGACCGCACAGGCUCCGUCGGCUACCACACUGCCAGUUACUGACCAGGCAGUCCUGGGGUUGCCUGCCGGAGUAGCAGGUAUUGCAAAGGAGGUGUCGCUAGUAGUCGUUACUGGCUCUUUGUUGUCUAGUGUGAUUGCCA